AGAGUUUGAUCAUGGCUCAGAACGAACGCUGKCGGCGCGCCUAAUACAUGCAAGUCGAACGAGAAUGUGUAGCAAUACACAUGUACAGUGGCGAACGAGUGAGGACUACAUGGGUAACCUACCCUCGAGUGGGGAAUAACUAGCCGAAAGGUUAGCUAAUACCGCGUACGCUUCCCGGACUGCGGUUCGGGAAGGAAAGCGAUACCGCGGGUACCGCGCUCUUGGAUGGGCUCAUGCCCCAUCAGCUUGUUGGUGAGGUAACGGCUCACCAAGGCAUCGACGGGUAGCUGAUCUGAGGGGAUGAUCAGCCACACUGG
rnacentral:rRNA from 1 species